rnacentral:lncRNA from 1 species
UUUUAAAUAAAAUUGAGAAUGGAAAUGGGGAAUGUGCCAAAGAGACAACAACCCGACCAUAGAAAAAAACAACAGCAGAAGGUCACCAACAGGUCUUCAAUGUAGCGAGAAAUUCCCGCACCCGGAGGCGUCUUUCAACUGGCCCCUAAACAAAUAUAUACUAGUUCAGUGAUAAUGAACGCCAUACUAAUUUCCAAAUUGUACACAAGAAACUAAAAUUAAAAUAAUACAAGACUAACAAAGGCCAGAGGCUCCUGAUUUGGGACAGGCGCAAAAAUGCGGCGGGGUUAAACAUGUUUGUGAGAUCUCAACCCUCCCCCUAUACCUCUAGC